rnacentral:rRNA from 1 species
UGAUGGAGCACGCCGCGUGACGAUGAAGGCUUUCGGGUCGUAAAGUUCUGUUGUAAGGGAAGAACAAGUGCCGCAGGCAAUGGCGGCACCUUGACGGUACCUUGCGAGAAAGCCACGGCUAACUACGUGCCAGCAGCCGCGGUAAUACGUAGGUGGCAAGCGUUGUCCGGAAUUAUUGGGCGUAAAGCGCGCGCAGGCGGCCUCUUAAGUCUGAUGUGAAAGCCCCCGGCUCAACCGGGGAGGGCCAUUGGAAACUGGGAGGCUUGAGUAUAGGAGAGAAGAGUGGAAUUCCACGUGUAGCGGUGAAAUGCGUAGAGAUGUGGAGGAACACCAGUGGCGAAGGCGACUCUUUGGCCUAUAACUGACGCUGAGGCGCGAAAGCGUGGGGAGCAAACAGGAUUAGAUACCCC